rnacentral:tRNA from 1 species
AGUCCCGCGGUGUAGUGGCCCAUCAUCUCGGGUCUUGGUCCCGAGGGCCCGGGUUAGAAUACGGGCGGGACUGCCA